GACGAACGCUGGCGGCGUGCUUAACACAUGCAAGUCGAACGGAAAGGCCCUGCUUUUGUGCGAUGCUCGAGUGGCGAACGGGUGAGUAACCCGUGAGUCACCUUCACUUGACUUGGUGAUAACUCCAGAUAACUGGGGCUAAUACCGGAUAGGAUCUCCUGCUGCAUGGUGAGGAUUGACAAGUUUCGGCGGUUGGGGAUGGACUCGAGGCUUAUCAGCUUGUUGGCCGGGUAGUGGCUUACCAAGGCUUUGAGGGGUAGCCGGCCUGAGAGGGUGACCGGCCACAUUGUGACUGAGCUGCGGCUCAUACUCCUACUUGAGUCAACAGUGGAGUAUAUUGUACAAUGGUCGGAAGCCUGAUGCGGCAACGCCGCGUGCGGGAUGACGGCCUUCGGGUUGUAAACCGCUUUCGCCUGUUACGGAUCGUUAGUGACGGUAAUGGGUAAAGAAGCACCGGCUAACUACGUG
rnacentral:rRNA from 1 species